rnacentral:tRNA from 2 species
GGAGAGGCAAGCCAAUUGGUGAUGGCACCUGACUGCUAAUCAGACGAGUCCUUAUAGGGCCUUGCGGGUUCGACCCCCGUUCUCUCCGC